rnacentral:rRNA from 1 species
UACGGAGGGUGCAAGCGUUAAUCGGAAUUACUGGGCGUAAAGCGCGCGUAGGCGGUGAUUUAAGUCGGAUGUGAAAGCCCUGGGCUCAACCUGGGAACUGCAUUCGAUACUGGGUCACUAGAGUAUAGUAGAGGGCGAUGGAAUUUCCUGUGUAGCGGUGAAAUGCGUAGAUAUAGGAAAGAACAUCAGUGGCGAAGGCGAUCGCCUGGACUAAUACUGACACUGAGGUGCGAAAGCGUGGGGAGCAAACAGG